UCGCGUUGUCGCGCAGAUGCGGCUGUCACGCACACGUCAGUCUCUCCAGAAGUUCCGAUCCCCUUUCUCCUCCACUUCUCUCCUUGUCACUCCAAAAUUGUUGUCUACCGAUGAACUCCAUUACUGCCGCUAGUAAUCGGCGUUGCCGAUCUCACUCCCAAGCUCCCCUCGAUUUCCUCUGUUAGUCUCAUGCCGCCACCUUGCUUAUCUUCCCUGCACGCACUCCCUGCAGUUCAGGUCGUUGGUGCGGCCAUGGGUCUGGUCUAGGUACCGCGCGCCUCCUCGAUCCCCCAGGCCCGCCAAUAGUGAGGAGGCAUAGCAGGGCUUGAGGAGCAGUUGCGUGAGGGAGUAGUUGAUCAGUUGAGCUAGUCGAACUCGAUGGUGGCGUUGCCGUCAGCGUGGAUCGUCUCCCCUGCAGUGGGACGGAGGUAAGCGAGUGAAGCAGCAUGGAGUUUGAGGUGCCCCCGUGCGUGAUGUUGGAGCUCCAGCGUGCAAGGCACUUUUCAGCCUAUGAUGAAUGCAGGUUUGUAUCCACACCGGCUGGUUGCAAGGCCGCUAAGGAUGUGGAUAAGCCAAUACAGUAUAGUUCAAAGUACAAAGCAAAUUAAGAACAGAUUUUAGGUAAUGUAGUCAGCAUGGCCUAACAGGCGAAGUUUUAGGCAGAUUUGGGUUUGUGCCUAGUAGUGCUUGGAAUUGCCGAGGACGGACCAUGAAGCGGUACCAGCUCCUCUCCUUUAGUUUAAUUUUGCGAUGCAGACCAUACAGUUAGGUGUCCUGCCUGAGGACAUUGGUUAUGCAUAGAUUAUUCCGUAUGUUUGCUGCUAUCAAUGAUUAUUGCUUUUUUUGACAAAAAUCACCUCUUUAUUCACUCGCUACCAAUGAUUAUUGGUGAUGAUAACUUGUUAGUCAAAAUUCUGAAUUUAUUGAGGCCCCAUCCACUUUUUCCUGCCAUGCGACCAGUAUCGGCAAUGUUAGGCUCUGUACCCUACAUACUAUAUCGAUGAUUUAUGAAUUGAUACAUAUAUUUGCAACUGGCUAUUGUUUUAAUAUUUCUCAAAGAUUAAUUAAAUUUAAAUAACUUGCGUUCUUGUAUAAAGUAUAAUGAUGAGUGGACGUUGUCACUAUAGGCUCGCAUUAUAUAAUAAGUGUUUUCAUUAAAUGUUCAUGCAUUUUUUCCAAUGUUUCUCUAGAAUAGUAGACUAUAUCCUUCCUGUCAUAUAGUGUGUAACAUUCAUGUUAGCAUAGAUAAGUCAAUUUAUUAAAUUGAAGAGAUUUUGCAGGAAACUAAUUAUCCGUGUACUUGUGCUUAUGUAAAAGGCUGGCAACAUCAUACGAAAAGUGUGUAUUUUAGUUCAUUACUUGGAAAAUUUAUUUGUAGAUUAUGUACUUGACCACAUCAUCGUCAUCGCUAUCUUCAUCAUUUGAUUAUCCGCGGUCCAUCUCUUUUUGUCUCUUGAGAAUGUUACGUAUAGAUGUCCAUGUUUAUAUCGUUCCAACCGAUCUUCCUUCCUUCCUUUUUAAUAUGAUAUUUUGCAUAUAGUUUUUCGACCUUUUCUGUUGUCUUUCCAUAGCUAUUUCAUAAGUUAAGUGAGUGGUUCUCUCAGUUGGUAGCACAGUCUGAAAUAGUCAUGCUUCUAGCUAUACCUGCCAAUCUUCAUACGAGAAAAUUGCACCACGUCGUUGCACUUACCGGUUGGCUCUAUGAAGUUCAAAAUUUUCAUAUCAGUACAUUCAUGUUCAAGCUUCUUAGUUCUGGAUCAUUUAAAUAUUAAUAUUGGUUGUUCUUGUUCAUACUAAAAUUCAUCCCUAUACUUUUUCGGAUGGAUGGGGUACAACUUACAUAUCUGGUGAUAUUUUUCUCUGUCCUCAAUUUUGAUUCUGUGCACCCUUUGUUACUUGUAUACCCAUUUGAGUGACAAGCUUUUUGGAAUGGACGGAGUACAACUUACAUAUCUGGUGGUUUUUUUUCUCUGUCCUCAAUUUUGAAGUUGUGCACCCGUUUGUUACUUAUAGUCCUUGGUUGCCAUCCCUCUAUUGUACCCAAUGCAUUUGUGAACACAGGCAACAUGUUAUUUGAGGCCUUGACAAUAGAAAUAUAAAUAUAUAUUAGUUAGUAAGUAUAACUGGAAAAAAUAUGUAUAGUUAGUUUUUUGUUCCAAUCAAAACCUGAACACAAAAGUAUUAACUUGAGGGAAAUGUUAGUAUGGAAAGGGAGCGGUUCUGGUCAUGUUAAUUAAUCUAGGAUGUACAUAUUAAAGUUCUUCUAUUUUAGAAAAAACUCAUCGAUCAAGCAUAGUUGAUCCAUUGCUUAUAAUGGUUAAUGUUUAGUUCGUUUAUCUAACAAUAAUAAAUCAUGAAAAUUAAUUGCUUUUGUGCAUAAGAUGGUAAUGCCUACAGUAGGUGGAGCGGUCGCUGGAAGGGGCUAAUUGCACAAUCUUGGAGAUCCAACGGAGACUGAGAGCAAACUUUGAACACAAAAAAGAUACCUGCUGGAGUCGUUGGUGUCGUUGGGUGGAGUCAAUUGGACAAUUGAGGAUAUCCAACAGAGAUUUGGCGACAUCCAAGGGGCGCCCAUAUGAAGGUGAACAUGAAGUGAAACUUGGAAGCGCUUGCAAGUCUGACGGAAUUGGAAAUUCAGAUUGGUUUCAGGUGUGCGUGAUGGAAUUAUGUUCUAAAAAUUGUGUUACAUUACAUGUGUGCGCCCAUCCAGUCUCUGAUCUAGCUUGCUGUUUGUACGUGAGUAUUCGUAUUCUAGAAGAAAAACUAAUCAGCAAGAAACUUGCCAUCGGGCAUGUGCUAACAAAAGGAAAAUUGAAUAGGUUAGCUUGAUCAAUUCGGCGUCCACAACUUGGUGAUUGCUUUCCGGCCAGAUGCGCUGGAUUACUAUGGCUGGAUGCUAAUAAUAAUAUAUGUGUGUUAGUUACUA